AGUCCUAGCAGUGGUAUACUGCUACAUAAGUCCUAGCAGUGGGUUACUGCUACAUAAGUCCUAGCAGUGGGUUACUGCUACAUAAGUCCUAGCAGUGGGUUACUGCUACAUAAGUCCUAGCAGUGGUGGUAUACUGCUACAUAAGUCCUCCCAGCAGUGGGUUACUGCUACAUAAGUCCUAGCAGUGGGUUACUGCUACAUAAGUCCUCCUAGCAGUGGGUUACUGCUACAUUAGUCCUAGCAGUGGGUUACUGCUACAUAAGUCCUAGUCCUAGGCAAUGGGUUAAUUCUACAUAAAUUCCUACUCCUAGCAGUGAGUUACUUCUACGUAAUUCCUACUUCUAGCAGUGGGCUUCUGCUACAGAAGACCUUUGUCUAGAAGUGGGUUGAUACUUCUUAACUCUUGUGGGUCCUCAGACAUUCUGGAAACAGUAUAGAAAGUUUCCAACACUCAAGGCAGGAAAAUGUAAACUAUGGAUUGAAUGUAUCCCAGCAGGCCAAGCUUCUGCCAAAGGAGCCUCAUGUUUCGAUCAGACGAGGGGAGGGGAUAAAGCAUGCCGCUGUUCCCAGUUAGAAGGACGGCUGUCUUGAAAGAUAUCUAUACCACGGCACUUUCUAAUAACAUGGGCUGUCACAAUUAAAACAGUAAGAUUUUAGUUAGUUUGUUAUAUUUAUUGUUUACUAUGUGAAUGGUAUGUAAGUACAAUCUCAAGGAACGUUUGUGAUUCUCUACGAUUUAUCUAGAUACAGGUUAGCCAGUGCUCAAUCUUCUUGAGCUUCACUACCAUGGCCUGUAUAAGAGUUUGCUAAUCAUGAUCCAAAAAAUGAUAUAGGAAGGAGAGAGGUAGGAAUUAAGACAAUUUCUCCUAGAAGGGAAGAUACAGAAAAAGAAGAGGAAAUAUGGCAGGAGGGAUACUGGGAUUGACAGGCGGGUAUUAUAGAUACCAACCUGUAUUGAAAUGUAAUACAUUGGUUCAGAUUUAUUUGAAACAAUGUAAUUUAUGUGAUUUAUUUAACCCUUCACAAUCUGAUAUUUUGAUGCACAACUACAAUAAAUGUAACCCUAAUUUGA